rnacentral:rRNA from 1 species
CCUACGGGUGGCAGCAGUGGGGAAUAUUGCACAAUGGGGGAAACCCUGAUGCAGCGACGCCGCGUGAGUGAAGAAGUUUCUCGGUAUGUAAAGCUCUAUCAGCAGGGAAGAAAAUGACGGUACGUGAUUAAGAAGCCCCGUCUAACUACGUGCCAGCAGCCGCGGUAAUACGGCGGGGGCCAGCGUUAUCCGGAUUUAGUGUGUGUAAAGGGAGCGUAGACGGCAGCACAAGUCUGGAGUGAAAUGCCGGGGCUUAACCCCGGAACUGCCUUGGAAACUGUGCAGCUAGAGUGCAGGAGAGGUAUGUGGAAUUCCUAGUGUAGCGGUGAAAUGCGUAGAUAUUAGGAGGAACACCAGUGGCGAAGGCGGCUUACUGGACCGUAACUGACGUUGAGGCACGAAAGCGUGGGGAGCAAACAGGAUUAGAUACCCGUGUAGUC